rnacentral:tRNA from 1 species
GGAUGUAGCUCAAGUGGUAGCGUGCUCGCUUGGCAUGCAUGCAGCCCGAGUUCGAUCCUCAGCACCA